UGCCAUUCGGGGCCCAGCGGCUAGGGGGCGGGCGGGCCCCGGGCGGCCGCGGGCUCUUUCUCCGGGGGCGGUGCAGGGCCGGCCGGGCGUCUCCCGCUCCCGGCAGCUGGGGGAAUGGGGGACUGGCCCCACACGCCCCUCCCAUCCCUGAGAGAGGGGCGGGGGCCCGCCGGCUUGCUGCGCGGGAAGGGAGCCCGGAAGGGAUCAGGACUCAGAACACGUGAACACCUCACCGUGUUCAAUCCCAGCGCCCCGAAGAGGAAAUGUGGCAAAAUAAUUAGGGUGGAACCAGACUCUCCCAGGGUCAAACUUGGUUCCAGGCAGUGAAAGAAUUUAGAGACGAGGCUAUAAGUGGCUGUGACAGACCAGCAGCAUACUGUCUCUGCAAGGAGAAAGUGCCCAAGCUAACAUGGAUACCAUCUUGGUUUUCAGCCUCAUCAUUACAUCCUAUGAUGUUAACAGGAAAGAAGCUCAGACAGAAGCCAAAUGGCCCACAUUCAUCAAAAUCAGACUGUGGCUACCUUGCAGUGUCUUGGUUCUAGGAGCAAAGUGAAAGUCAACCUUGUAUAUUUGGAAAAAAGGUGAAAGGUCAAGCACACUCUGAAGAACCUGAGAGUCACGCUGUUCCCCGCAGAAACAGCACUGCCCCCCCUAGCUGUCACCUAACCCUCACAUCCAAGGUUCAGAUUGGAUCCCUUGUGACAGGCAAAGCUUUUUUACCAGGGAUCUCCCAGUGUAAGGUCUAUCCAGUGAUGGGGGCUUCGUCAGAGACUUUUCCCACCACUACCACCUUCGUAACUCCUGGGAAAAAAGGAGAGAAAACUACAAGGAUUGAUGAUUUUUCUAGUCCUCUGAAACAAGAGUCAAUGCCGAGGAGCCAGAGAGCUAUGCCAAUGCCAGAGGUUGUGGAGAAGGCAAAGAAAGGAAGGCCAGCAACCUGGUGUAGCUGAAUCCCAGACUGACUCUCAGCCCAAAAAGGAAAGUGUUCUCUGUUGGACAAGAUGCUCCCAAAUCAUCAAGCCCCAAGAAAGCUGCAGAGAUCACUGUGGUCCACGAGACAUACUUCUGAAAAGUUCUGCUCCGCCUCACACACUGAAUGAAAGAUACUACAUUGUCUUCUCCCUACUAUGAAUUAGUAUGGGCAGAUUCUUGCCAAUUUUACCCUCGUAUCUUCAGCAGGGACAUUACGGUCAGACAGUAAUGCCAGGCCAAUGAGGGGGAAGCCUGGGCUCCAGAGUUACUCUCAUGCCUUUGCUACUGACUUAGCCACAAGCCUCUGAAAUUAACUUGGUAAUCCCACAAAAAAUGGAUAUUUUUUUCAUCCCAUCAAAUGAAAACAAAAAGUCUUCCCUCUAAGCACUAUGAAUGGACCCAUUACUCUCUUUGACAAAAGGUUUAAACACAGCCUCCAAGGAACUGAGCAAAGCAGCCCUUGGUGUGGCACAUUCACCAAGUCCUCUAUUGUCCUCUCUGCUGACCUCACGCGCACUGGCUCUCAGCCGGCUGAGGGUGGGGGCUCCUGUUUUCCCAGGCUGGCAUUCAUAGGGCUUUAUGACUUAGCCUCUGCCACUACAUGCAGCUCUCCACACACUGGGGAAGGGAACGUGACCCUAAGCGUUCCAAAAGUCCUCCUCGUGACUCAUCCCCAAAGCGCUUAGGGACUGCAUACAAAUAGGAUCCAGACUGGGAAUUCCCUGGUGGUCUAGUAGUUAGGACUCGGCACUUUCACUGCUGUGGCCUGGGUUCAAUCCCUGGUCGGGGAACUGAGAUCCUGCAAGCUGUGCAACGCAACCAAAAGACAAAAACAAACAAACAAAACCAAAUAGGAUCCAGACAAGGUCUGCUGAUAACCCAGAAUUCCUGAAGUUGGUCUGACAUUAUACCUUACCAUCACGGUGAGCUGCAGACAUUCUGAACAAGGAUUCCAGAGCAACAUGAUUAUGUGCUCUUUCUCACAGAGGCACGGCUAUAAGUCAAGUCUGACUUACUUAAGUAAGAGUUUGGUGAGAAAGUGAAACAGCUGGUUUUUAUUUUAAUACUCAAUGCAAUAUUUUAUUGUAUUUCUUAGCUGUGGUUUCUUCCUUUCCCUUACCUCAGCUAAGAGAUAGUUUAAGAAAGGCUCAGUUUAUAGAAUUUAUUAUGAAAUUAGAUUUUCAUUUAUACAUUGUAAUUUUUCAUAAAACUCAAAACUAUGGAUUACAAUGCAUACGACUUUUGACAACGAAACGAGACACCUACAAUCUAUUUUGUGUAUUAAAGAAUAUUCUACUUGUUUUACCAUUAUAAAUUGUCUUAUUUGAGAAAUUUUCUAAACAUGUUAAGAAAAAAACUGUCAAUAUAUCAAUAGUUUCAAUGUUAAGCUAAUUGAGUAUUACCUAACAACGAAUUUUUGCAACAACUAAUCUUUUUUUUAAAUUAUUUAUUUAUUUAUAUUUUAUUUUUAGCUGCAUUGGGUCUUCAUUGCGGUGCACAGGCUUCUCACCGUGGUGGCUUCUCUUGUUGCAGAGCAUGGGCUCUAGGCACGCGAGAUCACUAGUUGUGGCUCGUGGGCUCUAGAGCGCAGGCUCGGUAGCUGUGGCACACGGGCUUAGUUGCUCCGCGGCAUGUGGGAUCUUCCCAGACCAGGGCUUGAACCCAUGUUUCCUGCAUUGGCAGGCGGAUUCUUAACCACUGCGCCACCAGGGAAGUCCCCAACUAAUCUUACAAAUUCAAAAUUACUACUCAAACCUGUGUUCUAAAAACUGCAUUUUGGAAAUGUUUUUAUUAUGAUGGUGGCAUGAAACAGCUGACCUUAAAACAGAGCUUCAGUGAAAAAGGGACUGGCAUGAGGGAUACAAAGGGUGUUGUCCUGAUUCUUUUCAUGCGUCUGAAACCAUUCCAUUUCAUUUUGGUGAAAUGUGCCUGUUCCUAAUUGUUUUCUUAAUUCUCUGGUAACAACAACAACAUAUACAAAUCAUAUCCUCCUUUCUUUCACUUUAAGUACUGUCAAAAAAAGGUACAACAUCUAGCCUUAAGCCCUGAUUUGAUAUUCAAGCUGACCCUAGAAGAGAUGGAACCAAGCAAGGAUGAUGAUAGUUUUCAAGGAAGCCCUAGAGAUCCUCUAGGUGCCCUAAAGUUCCACAGAGCACACUUUGAAAAUAUGCUAGGCGGAGAGGAAAGACCACUGAGGCUGGCAUUUGAAUAAAUGAGUAUCACCCUCCACUGAUUCACAGCAUCACCUCCAGUUUAUCCUGCCAUCUGUGGCUCAGUCUAACCAUGAAAUAGGGAGAAAAAACCCCGCUCCUUCUCAAGACCACUAGGGAGGAUGAUUAAACACAUUCCAUACUUAAAGCUCUUGGUCUAGGACUGAUACCUACAUUCAUCCCCACCUUCCCAGGCUUUAUCCACCAGAGAAUGUCCUUUCCUUUAAUCCAGAAACAGGAGAUAAAACCUGUGGCAGAGUCUACACUCAUUAGCUCUACUGCAAGAAUAUAAUUUGGGGGGCUUCCCUGGUGGCGCAGUGGUUGAGAAUCUGCCUGCUAAUGCGGGAGACACGGGUUCGAGCCCUGGUCUGGGAAGAUCCCACAUGCCACGGAGCAGCUGGGCCCGUGAGCCACAGCUGCUGAGCCUGCGCGUCUGGAGCCUGUGCCCCGCAACGGGAGGGGCCGCGAUAGUGAAAGGCCCGCGCACCGCGAUGAAGAGCGGUCCCCACACCGCGAUGAAGAGUGGCCCCCACUUGCCGCA